AGAGUUUGAUCAUGGCUCAGGAUGAACGCUGGCGGCGUGCCUAAUACAUGCAAGUCGAACGAGGAGCCUCAGCACUUGUAUUCGUACUCGUGCAGGGGAUUUCCUAGUGGCGAACGGGUGAGUAACGCGUUGGUGACCUGCCCCAAAGAGAGGAAUAACAGUUCGAAAGGACUGCUAAUACCUCAUGUGGUCAUGAGAUUUAGAAACUCAUGUCUAAAGGAGUAAUCCACUUUGGGAGGGACCUGCGUCCCAUCAGCUAGUUGGUAGGGUAACGGCCUACCAAGGCAACGACGGGUAGGGGACCUGAGAGGGUGGCCCCCCACAAUGGAACUGAAACACGGUCCAUACACCUACGGGUGGCAGCAGUAGGGAAUAUUGCACAAUGGGCGAAAGCCUGAUGCAGCAACGCCGCGUGUGCGAUGAAGGCCUUCGGGUCGUAAAGCACUUUUUGAGAGGAUGAGAAAGGACAGUACUCUCAGAAUAAGUCUCGGCUAACUACGUGCCAGCAGCCGCGGUAACACGUAGGAGGCAAGCGUUAUCCGGAUUUACUGGGCGUAAAGCGCGUGCAGGUGGUUCGGUAAGUUGGAUGUGAAAUCUCCCGGCUCAACUGGGUGAGGUCGUUCAAAACUGCCAGACUAGAGGACGGUAGAGGAAGGUGGAAUUCCAGGUGUAGUGGUGAAAUGCGUAGAUAUCUGGAGGAACACCAGUGGCGAAAGCGGCCUUCUGGCCCGUACCUGACACUAAGACGCGAAAGCUAGGGUAGNAACAGGAUUANAGACCCUNNAGUCCUAGCCNUAAACNAUGUCAACUAG
rnacentral:rRNA from 1 species